rnacentral:ncRNA from 1 species
GGGAGCCGGAUGAGCUGAGAGGUUCACGUCCGGUUCUGGGAGAGCGCGGCGGUGCAACUCCGC